UACGAAGGGGGGCUAGCGUUGCUCGGAAUCACUGGGCGUAAAGGGUGCGUAGGCGGGUCGGCAAGUCCGGGGUGAAAGCCCCCAGCUCAACUGGGGAAGGGCCUUGGAAACUGCCGGUCGUUGAGGGAGGUAGGGGCCUGUGGAACUUCGGGUGGAGCGGUGAAAUGCGUUGAUAUCCGAAGGAACGCCGGUGGCGAAAGCGACGGGCUGGAUCUCUUCUGACGCUGAGGCGCGAAAGCUAGGGUAGCGAACGGG
rnacentral:rRNA from 1 species